GUUUGGGGAGGAGCAGAAGCAAAUGGGCAAGCUGUCCUGGGCUGUGUACCGCUCAUAUUGGAGGACAGUGGAUAGAUGCAUGGCUGUGGCUGCUCCGCUCUCCCUUCUUCUAAUGCAAGCCUCCAGAAAUGUGUCCGACUGGUGACUUUCUCACUGGAUUUCCCAUUUGAAGAACAAUACGACUGAGCUGGUGUCACUGUCAACGCUGACCUUCUUCUCUCCUGAGAGACUUGUGUUUCACGCAACUGACAGAGGUUCAGAUACUACGGGGAAUACAAUUUCCAAGAAUCUGUUCCCAUGAAGAAACAAACUCAUCUACAUUUUGGAUGACCAGAGGGUGAGUAUAUUUUCAGUAAGUAUUCAUUUUUGGUUGAAAUAUUACUUUAAGCACAACACAGAAGUCUGGUGCUUUCUCUCAUUGGCUGUACUGUUAUUUAUCAUUGGCUCUUUGGAAUACUGAUGAAAAUUGAUAAUUAAUCAAAUUCUAAAAAUAAAAAAAUCUAAAUAGCAUGUAAAAGUGUUUUUAAAUGAAUGAUAUAAAUAACUCAAUAAAAAUAAAAAUAGAAUGACUGAAUUAAAAUGUCAGGGGAAUUCUUGUACUGAUCAAUACAAAUAAUGAUUCAAUGAUGACAGAGGUUCAGGUACUACGGGGAAUGCAAGCUCUGAGUUGAAGUUUUACAUGACCGUGUAUGGA